AACAGCCUGUCCUUGACACCUGUGUCAGAGUUAGUCACCCAGGCUCCACCUGCACUCAGGGGGAGGCUCAGACACCCAGAGGAGGUGAUUCACCUCCUUCUGCUGCAGGUAGGGACCAGGCAGAUGAAGCAGCUCCUGCUCCCUGCUGUCCCUGGCACUGAUGCUCUCUGGGCAGGUGUCUCACCUGCUGGCACACACAGUUCCAGCAAGUGGAAGUCACCAUCCCUGGAAGUGUUCAAAAAAUGUGUGGAUGUGGCACCUGAGGACGUGGUUUAAUGGUGAAUGUGGUGGUGCUGCUGGGUUGAGGGUUGGACUUGAUCAUUAAAAGUCUUUCCCAACUUUAAGAAUUCUGUGAUUCUAUGGGAAGGGUCAGAGGCCUGGGUGAUUCUUCCUUAUGGGCUCCUGUUUGCAUCAGGUCUGCUGGGAAAGAGAAAAAAUG
rnacentral:lncRNA from 12 species